rnacentral:rRNA from 1 species
GUACUAAGGUAGCAUAAUCACUCGCCUCAUAAUUAGAGGAUCGUAUGAACGAAGCAACGAAUUAAUUAUACCUCCAUAAAAGAGAAAAAAACCUAAUAAUGUAGUAAAAAAGCUACAUAAAAUAAGAAAGACGACAAGACCCUGACGAACUUUAACAAAUAUGUUAAGCUGGGGCAGCUAAACAAACAAACCUUUCUAUAAAGCACCCUAAUAUACCUAUACAAAUAAAAACAAAACAAGUUACCGCAGGGAUAACAGCAUAAUUUAAUACAAAAGCACUAAUCAACUAUUAAGAUUAUGACCUCGAUGUUGAAUUAUCUUAAACCUAAUAAGGAAAAAUAUUAGCUAUAGGUCUGUUCGACCUUAACAAGAUACAUGAU